rnacentral:rRNA from 1 species
GGCGGCGUGCUAAUACAUGCAAGUCGAGCGAACAGAUAAGGAGCUUGCUCCUUUGACGUUAGCGGCGGACGGGUGAGUAACACGUGGAUAACCUACCUAUAAGACUGGGAUAACUUCGGGAAACCGGAGCUAAUACCGGAUAACAUAUUGAACCGCAUGGUUCAAUAGUGAAAGGCGGCUUUGCUGUCACUUAUAGAUGGAUCCGCGCCGUAUUAGCUAGUUGGUAAGGURACGGCUUACCAAGGCAACGAUACGUAGCCGACCUGAGAGGGUGAUCGGCCACACUGGAACUGAGACACGGUCCAGACUCCUACGGGAGGCAGCAGUAGGGAAUCUUCCGCAAUGGGCGAAAGCCUGACGGAGCAACGCCGCGUGAGUGAUGAAGGUCUUCGGAUCGUAAAACUCUGUUAUCAGGGAAGAACAAAUGUGUAAGUAACUGUGCACAUCUUGACGGUACCUGAUCAGAAAGCCACGGCUAACUACGUGCCAGCAGCCGCGGUAAUACGUAGGUGGCAAGCGUUAUCCGGAAUUAUUGGGCGUAAAGCGCGCGUAGGCGGUUUUUUAAGUCUGAUGUGAAAGCCCACGGCUCAACCGUGGAGGGUCAUUGGAAACUGGAAAACUUGAGUGCAGAAGAGGAAAGUGGAAUUCCAUGUGUAGCGGUGAAAUGCGCAGAGAUAUGGAGGAACACCAGUGGCGAAGGCGACUUU